AUUGAACGCUGGCGGCAGGCCUAACACAUGCAAGUCGAACGAGUGGCGGAAGGGUGAGUAAUGUCUGUGAAACUGCCUGAUGGAGGGGGAUAACUACUGGAAACGGUAGCUAAUACCGCAUACCAUCGGAUGUGCCCAGAUGGGAUUAGCGUGGUGGUGGGGUAACGGCUCACAAAGGCGCCGAUCCCUAGCUGGUCUGAGAGGAUGACCAGCCACACUGGAACUGAGACACGGGCCAGACGCCUACGGGAGGCAGCAGGGGGGAAUAUUGCACAAUGGGCGCAAGCCUGAUGCAGCCAUGCCGCGUGUAUGAAGAAGGCCUUCGGGUUGUAAAGUACUUUCAGUGGGGAGGCGUUACCCGCUGAAGAAGCACCGGCUAACUCCGUGCCAGCAGCCGCGGUAAUAC
rnacentral:rRNA from 1 species